UACGUAGGGGGCGAGCGUUGUCCGGAUUUAUUGGGCGUAAAGAGCUCGUAGGCGGCUUGGCAAGUCGGGUGUGAAAGCCCCGGGCUCAACCUGGGAAUUGCAUUCGAGACUGAAUAGCUAGGGUACGGUAGAGGGAAGUGGAAUUUCCGGUGUAGCGGUGAAAUGCGUAGAUAUCGGAAGGAAGCAUCAGUGGCGAAAGCGACUUCCUGGACCAGUACCGACGUCAGGCACGAAAGCGUGGGGAGCAAACAGG
rnacentral:rRNA from 1 species